CAGUCGCCGCGGUAAUACGAAGGGUGCAAGCGUUAAUCGGAAUUACUGGGCGUAAAGCGUGCGUAGGCGGUUUGUUAAGUCUGCUGUGAAAUCCCCGGGCUCAACCUGGGAAUGGCAGUGGAUACUGGCAAGCUAGAGUGUGUCAGAGGAUGGUGGAAUUCCCGGUGUAGCGGUGAAAUGCGUAGAGAUCGGGAGGAACAUCAGUGGCGAAGGCGGCCAUCUGGGACAACACUGACGCUGAGGCACGAAAGCGUGGGGAGCAAACAGGAUUAGAUACCCCUGUAGUCCCUGUCUCUUAUAC
rnacentral:rRNA from 1 species